rnacentral:lncRNA from 1 species
AUGCCCAGGGCUUUCCCGAGUAGGCCGGAGCCGAGAAGGACAGGCACGGGCGACAGUGUCCAGCAAGGAGAUUCCGGCGGGGGGNACCGGGGGCUUAUAAGCCGCCCUGCCGGUUCCGGUACUGGAUUCCCUUCCCAAAAGCUCAGGGGGAAACCCCGCAGCNCUUGGCCCCUCCCGAAGCGCAGCGGAGAAGAAAAACGGCACGGGGUUGUGCAAAACCGUCCCGACUGCGGAGUCGUCGGUGUGGCCGCGGUGUGGCAGUUACGGACUUGCGACUUCUACUCCCCCCCCCUCCCCGCCCGGCUCUGCUGCCAGGAGGGGGGCAAGUUGGGGGACCUUUGGCACUUCCGCCUUGACCUUGCCGGCAAAAGCGCGGGAAGCGCUCUCUGCACAUGCCCUGGGGCGCCUUCGCCUCGUCCUCCUCCCUCCCUCCCUCUUUCCUCGGAGCCGCUGCCGCGCGCGAGCCGAGCGGCCGCCCCCGGGGCAGGGCCAAGCUGGGCUGGGCCGGGCCGGGCCGGGCUGCCAUCGAUCGGCUGCGGCGGCACGUGGAGCCCAAGGAGCGGCGGCGGGCGCGUGAGCGCGGCGCGGGAAGCAGCGGGCGGGACCCCUCCCCAGCGCGGACGACCCUCCCCUCCUGCCCCCCCGUCCUGCCGGCCUCCGUCGUUUCGCCUUCCUGGCCGGCAGCCCGUGGGGCGCGCGGAUCCGGGCUGCGAGCGCUCUGCGCGCGAUCCCUGGCCGUCUCGACCGCGGGAGGGGAACGAUCUCGCUGUGCUCCGAAGCGGCCGAGACCCCUUCCCGAGCGGGAGUGGAGGGCGCCUAGGGGGAUCUUAAUCUAUAAAUGGCUUUUGAUGUUUCCCUGUUUUGAUGCUGGUACAAAUUUAGAGAGGCCUGUUGCGAAUUGUUGCAGUUUGUGUCUUCGUCUUAGUACGUAUCUGCUUUUAUGAUCUUCGGGAUCAGCCUUUUGGCUUGGAGUUUCUCCUUUGCAAUGAUUUUCUGAACCUCUUUAGAGGGGAUUUUGCGGCUGUAUACAAGCCCACGUGUCGACUUCCCCCUGGGGUGCCCGCUGUCAGAUUCAGGGUUUUAUCUUGGGUCUANGUAGCUUCUCAGGCCCUUUGCUAUGUCUGCGCAGGUGACGUAAGGGUUAAUCCCUGCUUGGCAGCAGAUGAACCUCAGAGGUGCCAAAAAUCUCAAACGACCAAAUUCUCCUCCUCCAGUACCACCUCCCCUUCCUUUCUCCCUGCUUUCUCCCUCCCUCUACCUUGGAGUGGAAUCCAGAUUGAGUUUCCUCUCCUUCUCCUUCUG